CCUACGGGAGGCAGCAGUGAGGAAUAUUGGUCAAUGGCCGUAAGGCUGAACCAGCCAAGUAGCGUGAGGGAAGACGGCCCUAUGGGUUGUAAACCUCUUUUAUGCGGGGAUAAAGGGGCACACGUGUGGAUGUUUGCAGGUACCGCAUGAAUAAGGACCGGCUAAUUCCGUGCCAGCAGCCGCGGUAAUACGGAAGGUCCGGGCGUUAUCCGGAUUUAUUGGGUUUAACGGGAGCGUAGGCCGGUCUUUAAGCGUGCCGUGAAAUUUUGUGGCUCAACCCUGCGAGUGCGGCGCGAACUGGCGUCCUUGAGUGCGCGGCAGGCAGGCGGACUUCGUUGUGUAGCGGU
rnacentral:rRNA from 1 species